UACGGAGGAUGCAAGCGUUAUCCAGAUUUAUUGGGUUUAAAGGGUGCGCAGGUUGUUUGAUAAGUCAGUGGUGAAAGUCUGUCGCUUAACGGUAGGAUUGCCAUUGAUACUGUUGGACUUGAAUAUGGAUGAGGUAGGCGGAAUGUGUAGUGUAGCGGUGAAAUGCAUAGAUAUUACACAGAACACCGAUUGCGAAGGCAGCUUACUAAUCCAUCAUUGACGCUGAGGCACGAAAGCGUGGGGAUCAAA
rnacentral:rRNA from 1 species